rnacentral:rRNA from 1 species
UACGUAGGGUCCGAGCGUUGUCCGGAAUUAUUGGGCGUAAAGAGCUACGUAGGCGGUCUGUCGCGUCUGCUGUGAAAACUCAGGGCUUAACCCUGAGCUUGCAGUGGGUACGGGCAGACUAGAGUGCGGUAGGGGAGACUGGAAUUCCUGGUGUAGCGGUGAAAUGCGCAGAUAUCAGGAGGAACACCGGUGGCGAAGGCGGGUCUCUGGGCCGUAACUGACGCUGGAGGAGCGAAAGCAUGGGGAGCGAACAGG